rnacentral:tRNA from 1 species
GCGGUAGUUCAGUUGGUAGAGCACCGGUCUCCAAAACCGGCUGUCGCGGGUUCAAGUCCUGCCCGCC